rnacentral:lncRNA from 1 species
AUAUGAAAUUAUAACAUUAAUUCCCACCUAUGUUAAUUUUGCCAUUGACUUAUGAACUAAUUUUCAAAUUUAUUUUGAAAUUAAUCAUACCUUCUAGUUCAAGGACCUUCAUGGAUUCUGAAUGUAAAAGAAUCCCAAUGAUUUUAUCUCUUCAGAAAACAUAAAUAUAAAUUGUAUUCAAAUAUGCAUAUUACACAAAGAUGCAUUACACAUAUUGCAAGAGACAUUCACACAUAUUUUUGGUUGGUGAUUUAGCCUGAAUUUGCUAACAAUGGCAUGGUGUCUACUUUGAUUUUGUUUAGCUGGAAUAAUCAAGUAUUAGUCCAUUCUUUCACUGCUAUUAAAUACCUGAGACUGGGUAGUUUAUAGGGAAAAGAAGAUUAAUUGGCUGAAGGUUCUGCAGACUGUAUGAGAAGCAUAGUGGCUUCUGAGAAAACCUCAGGAAAGUUAGAAUCAUGGUGGUGUAGGAGGACUAGCCACAGACAAAACCACUCAGACACCGGGUUAAGAAGGAAGUGGCUUUAUUUGGCCAGGAGCAUCAGCAGACUUGCAUGUCAAGAACUGAGCUCUCUGAAGAAAGAGUUCCUGGCCCUUUUAAGAACUUACAACUCUAAGGGGUUCACGUGAAAGGGUUGUGAUAGAUUGACAUUCAGAGAUAGCAUAUGUGAUUAGAGGGGGGCUAAUCUUUAACCUCUCUCUUCAUUCCCCCAUUUGAGAACCUUACUCACUAGUGGGAGGUCUCACUCUCAUCUUCACUACCCAGGUCUUUCUGCAAGACAGAUCGACAGUGAUUCAUGUAAUACACUUGUGUAUUACAAGACAUUCAUGUAAUACAUUUGUGCUGAAGUUUUCUGAUGAACCAAGGUAGUAACAAAACUUCUUAGAAGUUGGAGAAAUAUGGGUAACAAACAAAGGAGCAAUAGGAGGGUUGCAGCUGGAGAUCUGGGGAGGAGCUGGUGUUUUUUAGUUUGAGGGUCAUGCAGCUAUAGACCCUGGGAGGAGCAGGAGUUUCUUUAGUUUGAGGGUUGGGCAGCUGCAGAACCCGGGAGAAUCUGAUGUUCUGGUUUGAGGGUCCUGCAGCUGGAGACCCAGAGAGCAGCUGGUGUUUCUUUAGUUUGAUGGCCGUGCAGCUGUAGAACCCAGGGGGAGCUGGUAUUUUUCUAGUAUGAGUGUCCUGCAGCUGGAGACCUGGAGAAGAGCUGAUGUUCUAGUUUGAGGGUCGUGCCGCUGAAGACUCAGGGAGAAGCUGAUGUUCUCGUUUGAGGAUACUGCAGCUGGAGACCUGGAGAGGAGCUGAUGUUAUUCUAGUUUGAGGAUCAUGGAGCUUGAGAUCCACAGAGGAGCAGGUAUUGUUCUAGAUUGAGGUUCAUGUAGCUGAAGACCUGGGGAGCAGCGGGUGUUUUUUAGUUUGAGGGUCAUGCAGCUGUAGAACCCGGGAGGAGCUGGUGUUUUUCUAGUAUGAGUGUCCUGCAGCUGGAGACCUGGAGAGGAGCUGAUGUUGUUCUAGUUUGAGGGUUGUGCAGCUGAAGACUUGGAGGGGAGCUGAUGUUGUUCUUGUUGAGGGUCUUUCAGCUGGAGACCCAGAGAGGAGCUGAUGUGGUUCUAGUUUAAGGGUCAUGGAGCUGGAGACCCAGAGAGGAGCUGGUGUUGUUCUGAUUUGAGGUUCAUGCAGCUGGAGACAUGGAGAGGAGCGGGUGUUUCUUUAGUUUGAGAUUCAUGCAGCUGUAGAACCGGGGAAGAGCUGGCGUUUUUCUAGUAUGAGUGUCCUACAGCUGGAGACCAGGAGAGGAGCUGAUGUUCUAGUUUGAGAGCCAUGCGACUGGAGAUGCAAAGAGGAGCUGAUUUGGUUCUAGUUUGAGGGUCAUGGAGCUGGAGACCCAGAGAGGAGCUGGUGUUUCUUUAGUUUGAGGGUCAUACAGCUGUAGAACCCAUGAGGAGCUUGCAUUUUUCUAGUGUGAGUGUCCUGCAGCUGAAGACCUGGAGAAGAGCUGAUGCUUUCAAUUGAGGGUUGUGCAGCUUAAGACUCAGGGAGGAGCUGAUGUUCUAGUUUGAGGGCCAUGAGCUUAAGACCCGGGGAUGAGCUGAUGUUGUUCUGGUUUGAGGUUCAUGCACCUGGAGACCUGAGGAGGAGCGGUUGUUUUUUAGUUUGAGGGUCGUGCAACAGUAGAACCUGGGAGGAGCUUGUGUUUUUCUAGUAUGAGUGUCCAGCAGCUAGAGACCCAGAGAGGAGCCGAUGUUCUAGGUUGAGGGUGGUGCAGCUGAAGACUCGGGAAGGAGCUAAUGUUCUAGUUUGAGGGCCGUGAUCUGGGGACUUGGAGAGGAGCUGAUGUUGUUCUAGUUUGAGGGUCGUGCAGCUGAAGACGGGGGAGGGUUCUAGUUUGAGUGCCCUGCAGCUGAAGACUCGGGAAGGAGCUGAUGUUGUCCUUGUUUUACGAUCUUUCAGCUGGAGACUCAAAGAGGAGCUGAUGUUGUUCUAAUUUGAGUGUAAUGGAGCUGGAGACCCGGGGUGGAGCUGAUGUUGUUCUAGUUUGAGUGUUGUGCAGCUGGAGAUCCAAGAAGGAGGUGGUCUUGUGGUUCAAAUCUGAGGGUCCUGGAGCUGGAAUCUAUGGGAGGAGUCAAUGCUGCCACUGAUGUCUUAGAUUGUGCAGCAGAAGACCCACAGAGGAGCCGGUGUUGGUGUUCUAGUGUGAGGGUGUGGAUCUGGAGAUCCAUGGGGGAGUGACGUUCUUCUAGUUUUUGGGUUGUGGUGCUGGAGACCCAGGGAGGAGCUCAUGGUGUUCUAGUUGAGGGUCGUGGUGCUGGAGACCCAGGGAGGAGUCGAUCCUUCUGUUGUUUAAGUCUGAAGGUCAUCGAGCUGGAGAUCCGGGGAAGAGCUGGUGCUGCGGUUCAAGUCUGAGGGUGUUGGUGUUCUAGUGUGAGGGUCAUGGAUCUGGAGAUCCAUGGGGGAGUGGUGUUCUUCUAGUUUGUGGGUUGUGGUGCUGGAGACCCAGGGAGGAGCUGAUUCUUUUGUUGUUUAAGUCUGAAGGUCGUCAAGCUGGAGAUCCGGGGAAGAGCUGGUGCUGCGAUUCAAGUCUGAGGGUCCUGGAGCUUGAGACCCCAGGAGGAGAUGGUGCUGCCACUAAUGUCUUAGAUUGUAAAGCUGGAGAUCUGUGGAGGAGCUGGUGUUUCUGUUCUAGUGUAAGGUUUGUGGAUCUGGAGUCCCAGGGGUGAGCAGUGUUGUUUUAGUUUGAGGGUCAUGGAGUUAGAGACCCGGGGAGGAGCUGAUGUUGUAGUUUGAGGGUCGUGCAGCUGGAGACCCAGGGAGGAGCUGGUGUGUUUCUAGUUGGAGGGUUGUGGAGCUGGAGAUUCAC